CAGUACGUUGAGUUAUCAAUUUUUAAAACCUCUUCAAGUGCCUUAUUUAGUUAUUUUAAAAGGUGCUUUUCAUUUGUUACAGCGAGCGAGCCUGGAGCAUGGCAGCGAGGGCUGCGAGCACAUAGGGCAGAACAGCACCUGGUGUCCCUCAUCCUCUGCUGAUCAGCUCUAGGACUCAGAUGUGUGGCUAAUGGUGUACUUCCAGAAGAAGACGUACUCUGUGCAGCAGAAGAGGAAGAGUCCUGCAGUGUGUGCGUAUGAGCUGAUGGCAGCAAGACAAGAAGGGGCUGUGGCAGAAAAGGCUGUGGAACAAAACCCACAACAAUCUAAUCAUGAUCUCUGCUGGUCAGUGAGAUCUGUGUGAGAAGACAUUGCAUAAAGCAGACACAUCCAGGAAAUAAUGCCCGUCCAGUGCGGCCAGAUGGAGAGGGCAGACCUUAGCUAAGCAUUAAAGCCAGUACAUCUUCCCAUUGCUUCCAGAAUAAAGAAAGAAGGAAAGAAGGAAAGAAAGAAGGAAGGAAAGAAGG